rnacentral:rRNA from 1 species
AGCGAACGCUGGCGGCAGGCCUAACACAUGCAAGUCGAACGAACCUUUCGGGGUUAGUGGCGGACGGGUGAGUAACACGUGGGAACGUGCCUUUAGGUUCGGAAUAACUCAGGGAAACUUGUGCUAAUACCGAAUGUGCCCUUCGGGGGAAAGAUUUAUCGCCUUUAGAGCGGCCCGCGUCUGAUUAGCUAGUUGGUUGAGGUAAUGGCUCACCAAGGCGACGAUCAGUAGCUGGUCUGAGAGGAUGAUCAGCCACAUUGGGACUGAGACACGGCCCAAACUCCUACGGGAGGCAGCAGUGGGGAAUCUUGCGCAAUGGGCGAAAGCCUGACGCAGCCAGGCCGCGUGAAUGAUGAAGGUCUUAGGAUUGUAAAAUUCUUUCACCGGGGACGAUAAUGACGGAACCCGGAGAAGAAGCCCCGGCUAACUUCGU